GACGAACGCUGGCGGCGUGCUUAACACAUGCAAGUCGAACGGAAAGGCCCUGCUUUUGUGGGGUGCUCGAGUGGCGAACGGGUGAUUAACACGUGAGUAACCUGCCCUUGACUUUGGGAUAACUUCAGGAAACUUGGGCUAAUACCGGAUAGGAGCUCCUGCUGCAUGGUGGGGUUUGGAAAGUUUCUGCGGUUGGGGAUGGACUCGCUGGUUAUCAGCUUGUUGGUGGGGUAGUGGCUUACCAAGGCUUUGACGGGUAGCCGGCCUGAGAGGGUGACCGGCGACAUUGGGACUGAGAUAGGGACCAGAGUGCAACGGGAGGCAGCAGUGGGAAAUAUUGCACAGUGGGGGGAAGCCUGAGGCAGAAACGCCGCGUGCGGGAUGACGGCAUUCGGGUUGUAAAACGCUUUCGCCUGAGACGAAGCGUGAGUGACGGUAAUGGGUAAAGAAGCACCGGCUAACUACGUG
rnacentral:rRNA from 1 species